GAUUAUUAAAAACAAUCUUUUCCUUCUACUAUACAAUCACAUGACUAUCAAAAGUAAUGUCAGUGAGACCCUUUUCUAAACUGUAAUGUGCUGUUCAAAUGUGAAAUUAUCACCUAUUAGAACUUUAUCUUAAUGGAACAAGGUUUCUUGCCAAGUGAUAGGUUCUCUUUCACUUGAGUCACAAUGGUCAUUCACACUGGGCCUUCCACUUUAGCUGGAGGUUAGGAUGAGUGCUCUCAAGGGUCUCCUCAAACUGGGAGAUCAUCUGGUUUUAUUCACGUGAAACUUUUCAUUUUGCAGAAAAUAAUUACAGUGAGAGGUGAAUUUGCUGAAGUCAACUUGCCACUCUGACUGGGAGGUUGAAACCAUCUCUGGGAAACCCAAUGAGAGUCCCACCAUUAUUUGGCUACUUGACUGAUCUAGGAUCCAGGUGCCAGUUUAUCAUCGUAGACACACAGAGGAAGCAAAUCUCGAUUCACUCCUAUGGAGUGAGCAUCACUUUUAUCUUCAUUUUACAGCUGGGGAGUCAGAGACAGAUUUGUCUGAUCCCAUACUUUCAGGAAGGGUUUCUAACAUCUAAGAAGCAGAUCCUUAAGAAGAAAAAAAAUCACUUUUCAACACAAUUUUAUCUCAGAAAAACUCAUAUUCACCUUCCAUUUAUUGGAAUAUUAUCUUCUUAUAAAACAAAAAUAUUUGGACAUCUGAUCCUGAUUAGAUCAACAUCAAAAACCAAUCUAGGAAGAAAAUUGUUAAAGUUUAUUUCUCCCUGCUUUGUAAGAGAUGUCAUUUCUAAUAAAACUAUGGAAUAG
rnacentral:lncRNA from 1 species